rnacentral:rRNA from 1 species
AAAUUGAAGAGUUUGAUCAUGGCUCAGAUUGAACGCUGGCGGCAGGCCUAACACAUGCAAGUCGAACGGUAACAGGAAACAGCUUGCUGUUUCGCUGACGAGUGGCGGACGGGUGAGUAAUGUCUGGGAAACUGCCUGAUGGAGGGGGAUAACUACU